rnacentral:rRNA from 1 species
CCUGGGACUUAGGGUAUYCUGAAGGAACNGUUGAAGACGMCGACGUUGAUAGGCYGGGUGUGUAAGCGCAGCGAUGCGUUGAGMUAACCGGUACUAAUGAACCGUGAGGCUUAACCUUACAACGCCGAAG